rnacentral:lncRNA from 1 species
AUUCCAGCGAGAAUAACCGUGGCACCUGUUCCCUCCAGACACAGGUCAUAUGAGGACUCCUUGAGGACUGACCCAAGUAUCUCCUGGAGCUGCCAUGCAGUGUUGCCCCCAUGAUGUAUGCACGAGUCUUCAGGAGUGACAGCUGUUUCAAGUCACUUUGGCAAGAGGAGCUUUCAGAACCAAAGCCCUCACAGACUUCGCCUCAGAUAAAGACUGAAGCUAGGACUUCCUAGAGAAAGAGAACUCUGGGGAAACUUCUACUUGUGCAACUCAAGCAAAUUGACACCUUCCCUGUAAGUUAUAGUUUUUAAGAAUUGCUGACAAUCUAUAGUG